rnacentral:rRNA from 1 species
CCUACGGGAGGCAGCAGUGAGGAAUAUUGGUCAAUGGACGAGAGUCUGAACCAGCCAAGUAGCGUGUAGGAUGACUGCCCUAUGGGUUGUAAACUUCUUUUAUAUGGGAAUAAAAUGUUCCACGUGUGGGAUUUUGUAUGUACCAUAUGAAUAAGGAUCGGCUAACUCCGUGCCAGCAGCCGCGGUAAUACGGAGGAUCCGAGCGUUAUCCGGAUUUAUUGGGUUUAAAGGGAGCGUAGGGGGAUUGUUAAGUCAGUUGUGAAAGUUUGCGGCUCAACCGUAAAAUUGCAGUUGAAACUGGCAGUCUUGAGUACAGUAGAGGUGGGCGGAAUUCGUGGUGUAGCGGUGAAAUGCUUAGAUAUCACGAAGAACUCCGAUUGCGAAGGCAGUUCACUGGACUGCAACUGACACUGAGGCUCGAAAGUGUGGGUAUCAAACAGGAUUAGAUACCCCAGUAGUC